rnacentral:rRNA from 1 species
AUGAACGCUGGCGGCGCGCCUAAUACAUGCAAGUCGAGCGAGAAGACGUAGCAAUACGUUUGUAAAGCGGCGAACGGGUGAGGAAUACAUGGGUAACCUACCCUCGAGUGGGGAAGUAACUAGCCGAAAGGUUAGCUAAUACCGCGUACGCUUCUUGGACUUCGGUUCAGGGAGGAAAGCGAUGCCGAGGGUAUCGCGCUCUUGGAUGGGCUCAUGUCCUAUCAGCUUGUUGGGAGGUAACGGCUCACCAAGGCUUCGACGGGUAGCUGGUCUGAGAGGACGAUCAGCCACACUGGCACUGCGACACGGGCCAGACUCCUACGGGAGGCAGCAGUAAGGAAUAUUGCGCAAUGGGCG